AAAAUGAAACAAAAGAAAGGGAUUAAGGGGAAACGGGAAGAAGGAGAGGGGAGAUGGGAGGAACGGCGCUGGCGAGGAGCCACUGCUGCCGCCGCCGCGUCGAGGCUGAGACACAGAGAGGGAGAGGGAGACUGAGCUGCGGCAGGGAGGAAGAAAAGCGUCGCGCCUCACCCCCGCCAGCCUUGGGGUCGCCGUUCAUGCCUCGUCGCGUCACCAUUAGUAGUCGCCGUCUUCGCCAACCAUGGUGGAGAGAGAGGAGGCGAGCGCGAGCCAAGAUCCACACCGGAGAGCUGCCGCUACUGGGUUCUGCCGCCGCCAUCCACCCUCCUUGCUUCCAGUCUCUGUUCGCGAAGAAUAGAGGGAGUUCGCGUUGCCGUCAGGUCCGCCAUCAGAUCCGCUGUUCCUCGCCGUUUCUGUCACCGCCGUCAGUGCCCUGCUGUCACCGCCGUCGCUGCUGGGAGCUGCACCGCCGUGACCGAACUUCUACCGCUGAGAACCGUCACUGCUGCCGCCAGCAACGCCACUGCCGGUAAGGGCUUAAGUUGGUCUUCGUUUCCUUUGGGUUUCCGGAAGCUUCAUUAUAGUUGUAUGUUAGUUUCAGUAUCGUCGCGGGAGAUCUGGUUGCCCCCGCCACUCGAGGUGGUUGCCGGGGCUGCCGCCAAGCCGGUUCAGGGAACGCUGCAGUUUUAUUUUCCUAGUUCGGUUCGAGUUCUAUAUGUCGAAUACCAUUUCUAAGUUGCUGUGAGUGCUGGGAAAGUGAUCAGGGGCUGAGUUUGUGUUUGCUGUUGAUUUCGGGUUGAGCUUAAAGGUUUCGUUAGUGCGUUUUGGGUUAUGGUUCGACGAAUCGAGGUUAUUCCUUUUCAGGAUAUGGAAGACGAAGCUUCAGGAGAGUUAUGUUUAUUUUCUGUUUAUUCGAUCUUUUUGUAUUACCGUAGCUAUUAUUUUUCCCUCACCUUUAUCUUUAUGAAGCUUGUA